rnacentral:lncRNA from 1 species
CUUUACCUGCACUUUGCUUGCAUCAUCUCUUCAUUUACUCUUUGCAAGUUUGUGAAGUUACUAUUAUUGACCCACUUUACAGAUGAGAGACCUGAGGCAUUAAACUCAAGAGCAAUAAUUUGGCCAUGAGAGAACAAGUGAAAUUCAAAUGGUGUCAGAAGUGGGAUCUGAAGUAGAGGUUGUAACGAUCCCCAGGAGUGCUGAGUGAACAAGCAAGUUACCUGCAGAAUCCACUGUGUCCUUUGAUCUGUCACAGCAGCUGGGGUUCCUGACUUUCCCUCUUGUUGCCCAGGCUGGAGUGCAAUGGCACAAUCUCGGCUCACCGCAACCUCCGCCUCCCGGGUUCAAGCAAUUCUCCUGCCUCAGCCUCCCGAGUAGCUGGGAUUACAGACAUGUGCCACCAUGCCCAGCUAAUUUUGUAUUUUUAGUAGAGACAGGGUUUCUCCAUGUUGAUCAGGCUGGUCUCGAACUCCUGACCUCACAUGAUCCAUCCGCCUCAGCCUCCCAAAGUGGUGGGACACAGAGCCACUGAGCCUGGCCUAUAUGCUUGUAAUUUCAUAAAUGCUGGAGGAACCAUUCCAAUCAUGGAAAGCUGCAAAGACAACAUGUUAAUGAUCAACACCUGUGAAAAGAAGGGAAUGAAAAUAAAAAU